UCACAGGAUGUCAAAGAGGGAGUGACUCAGCCAGAAGGGGGAUUGCCCCCUUCGCAGAUGGAGAAAGUCUCUUUUUGAGGCUGGGAGGGUAGAAGCCUGAGUUUCACCCUGUCACCCAGGGUGGAGUGCAGUGGUACUAUCUCGGCUCUCGGCAACCUCUGCUCCUGGGUUCAAGCGAUUCUCCUGACCCUGUCAGGGUGAAGGAAGGGGAGACCCUGUUGGCAUCACAAGAGAAUCUGGGUCAAGCCAUGCCUGAAGCUGGUCAAUCCAGGGCCCUCUGCAUUUUAGGAGCCAGUUUUGUGAAAUUUCCCUCUGAGGCUGCUACUCUGAUGGUUGGUGUUUCUGGACUGACUGCAAGAGGCCAUCCUGGUGGGGCUGGACCCCCUUAGCUCUGGCUGAUGAAGCCACUGCUCGGGACACCCAGAAUCUUGGCUCCUCCAGAAACGCUUCAGCAGCUCAGAAUUGAUCCAUUAGCGCACAACGGUGUGAUUAAGACAGUGGAAUGAUGGCGAGAAUGCAGAAUGAGCUCGCAAUCGUAAAUCAAGUGAGAGGUGUCUGUGUUGGUCCUGAGAGGAGAACCUCCUGAAAGAUGACUUUCCACAAGUGGCCCAAACACACAAGCAUGAGUUAAAAUAUAGCAAAUCCAUGUUUCUGAAAAAUGGAUUGCAUCAUAGCAGUGAACUCACCCCUUAGACCUUGCACUUCAUUAUCUGUUGUGAAGCUUUGUCAAACAGCCUCCUGAAGUGGAGGAACGCUUCAUCUCUUUUUCAAGGAAAGUGUGGGGAUCUCUCUGGCAAGGAAAUCGCAUUUCAAGCACAAAACCAGGCGUGCCCAUGAAAAUUGAGUAAUUUCACUAAUAAAGGCUGAAAUGAGACAAAAACAACACCAUUCAAAGUUGCUCUUUCUGUAGCGAAAGCAGAGGAGGUGAAGUGGCUGCUGAGGAGGUAGUGAAAGCAACCCCCAAAUUAGUGCCAAAUGUGAUGCUCGGGGAGAAAACUAAAGGACCAGCAGAAUCCUCUAUCAAGUGGCACUCUGGCAUAUUGUCUGACAGCACGGACGUAGAAUGUGGAAGAGCAAUUCCUGGAUAUGUGCCUGUCAGCGGUCACUUCUCUUUACCCAGGAAAACGUCUGCUGCAAAGAGGGUGAAUCAGGUCCUGACAGGUUCGGUAUGAAGCAUGAUGGUUUUGAGGAAAGUGAUUGUGAUCACAGCUAGCAUUUUGUGAGUACGUGCUUGGGCCAGGAAGUGCUAAAAGCACUUUGCAAGCAUUCAGUAACAUUUACUUCUAUUUUAUUUAUGUAUUUAUUUAAUACGGGAUACUUUUAUUAUUUAGAUUUUAUAACUAACAAGCCAAGGGACAUGGAGGCAGGCUACCUUGCCCACGGUGACACAGCUAGCUAGCAGUGGAGAGGUGCAUGCCCUGCCAACUAUCUCCAUACACACGCUUAACCACCAUGCCAAACAGCUUCUGGUCAAACCUGAGGGAGAAGUCCCUUUUUCUUCCUUGACUUUUGAAAGCCCAUGUUUCAGGAAAAGAGGUUUUUCACAGAGUUAAGUUAUGAGGAUGAUAAUUUUCUGGUAGCCAUGGUGUGGACUGGAAAAGGCAUGUUCGAGUUGGUUCUUACAAUGUGUCACCAUCUAAUUCCCUGUAGGGGCAACCAUCAAAUCCGUGCCUGGCUGGGCGUCGGGGCUCAGGCCUGUAAUCCCAGCACUUUGAGUGGAUCACUUGAGGUCAGGAGUUCGAGACCAGUUGGCCAACAUAGUGAAAUCUCGUCUGUACUAAAAAUACAAAAAUU
rnacentral:lncRNA from 10 species